AUGAGCCUGGGAGUAGGCACUUGUGGCCCGGAAUGUGUGCGACCGAACGCGACCGCUCGGAAAGAGACUGCGAUCGGGACAAUGAGAGGUGAUCCUCAAGUGUCGCCAGUGACAUUGAAUCGAACAGAGUGCCGUCCAGGCCAGGCGAGUCCAUCUGUCCUUCGAGAGAACGAGAGUAGCAGUAUGGUCGUUCAAAAAGUAAAAUCCUCCUCCGAGACCUGUGGACACAGCCAGCUGUAAAGUGACAAACCACCACGGGUGAAGCCCUACGAACUUACCAACACUUUCAAAACAAAGCCGGACGGGCUUUUCAGUGCAGCCUGUGAUGCAGGACACCUUGACUACUGCAGAGAUGUGCGCUGAUCUGUACACCUGGCGGAGAGGAGAUGUGCGGAUUAAAUAUGCCUCAUUUGAAUAUGUAACACCCACUGAUCUAUAAUAGAGAACAUAUAUAGAUCAGUGGUAACACCUAAUUUUCUUAUUGUAAUUUGCGUACCCUCUCCUUUUUGGGGUGGGGCAUGCAUAAUUGUGCUUGUUUAUGUUAGGUAGGCUAUUUACCCAAAAAUGUAGCCUAAAUAAAUAGGCUACUUAUGAUGUUACAUGUGAUGUUUCCAGAUCCUUUUAGCAUUAAUUGCAGUAAUCCAGUGGAAUUGUUUUUUUUUUUUUCUGUUAAACUGGAAAAGAAUAUAAAAAAGCAGGUCAUGUCUCUCCAGAAGUCUUACAGUAUGCAUGUGCUGGCACAAUGGAUCUCUUUAGACUUUGUCUUUUGUUAUCUUGGUAACUAUUCCCAUUAGGAUUGCCUAUCAAACCUAUAAUCAAAAGGUUAAACUUCUUCUGAGAGGAAACUAUUUUCUGAAGCAGUGAUCCAGGUGACUCCUGUAGGUGUGGAGCAAUUAGCUCCCAGCGAAACAAUGGACCUCUGAAGUCACAGACAAUGGGAAAAUUCUUUAGAAAAUUGGCAAAGAUUCUGAGAUCUUUAGACAGAAAUUGGAGAGGGAUCUUAAGAAACAGAAAAAGUUCACUUUGUUCUGGUAAUUACAAACCUCAUAAAUUACAUCUUUUUUUUAGGACCUAAGCAAGCAUGUGUUUUUAAUGAUAGAUAUGGCCAAAAGUAAGAGUUUACAAAUCACAAACCGAUUAUAUACUUCAUCUUGUCUAUUUAUAUUAUUAUUUACUUUAUAUUUCAUUUAAAAGUGGCAGAUGGCGAAGAGUAUCUGUGGUGACUGUGUUCAGGUUUGGAUGUGGCAGCGAUCAAUGGGUGUCUCUGCACUGGACGUGCUGAGAGGGGUCCAGGGGUCCUAAAGGUCAGAUGUCCAUAAUUCAGCCCUGCCGUUAGAGAGAGAGAAAGAAAGAAAGUUUGCAUGCUUCAGCUAAAAUUGGACAAAUAAGCUUUUGGUGUAGUGCUCCUUUAAAAAAAAUAAAAAUAAAAUAAAUAAUGAUAAUAAUGGGUGGUCUUGAAAUGUUGUAAUAACUGUACCUAAUUUGAAUAUCAACAUUUGAUUAGUGAAAAAGUGAAAGUGAAAGCCAAGUAUGGUGACCCAUGCUCAGAAUUUGUGCUCUGCAUUUAACCCAACCAAAGUGCACACACACAGCAGUGAACACACACACACACUGUGAACACACAUCCGGAGCAGUGGGCGGCCAUUUAUGCUGCGGCACCCGGGGAGCAGUUGGGGGUUCGGUGCCUUGCUCAAGGACACCUCAGUUCUGGUAUUGCCGGCCCGAGACUCGAACCCACAACCUUAGGGUUAGGAGUCAAACUCUCUAACCAUUAGGCCACGGCUUCCCCAUAAGUCAAAUGCAAAUCAUAUGGGUGUGGUUAACACUCAAAUGCUAGAAGGUCUGAGAAAGUACAUGGUACGUGCCCGUUUAAGUCUAUUAAAAUGGUUAAGGUUUAAUUCCUA
ensembl:lncRNA